UAAUACGAAGGUUGCAAGCGUUACUCGGAAUUACUAGGCGUAAAGGGCAGGUAGGUGGUUUGGUAAGUCUGUUGUGAAAGCUCCUGGCUUAACUGGGAGAGGUCAAUAGAUACUGCCGGACUUGAGUAUAGGAGAGGUUACUGGAAUUCCCGGUGUAGCGGUGAAAUGCGCAGAGAUCGGGAGGAACACCAAUGGCGAAAGCAGGUAACUGGACUAUUACUGACGCUAAGCUGCGAAAGCUAGGGGAGCAAACAGGAUUAGAUACCCUGGUAGUCCUAGCCGUAAACGAUGCACAUUAGACGUGAGGGGUAUCGACCCCCUUCGUGUCGACGCUAACGCAUUAAAUGUGCCGCCUGGGGAGUACGGCCGCAAGGUUG
rnacentral:rRNA from 1 species